rnacentral:rRNA from 1 species
GACGAGAGGGGCGAGCGUUAUCCAAAAUAAUUGGGCGUAAAGGGUCUGUAGACGGUAUUUUGUAUGCUUUUAGUUAAAAACAAAGCUAAAACUUUGUCAUGCUUUAAGAACAGAAAUACUCUGAGUCUAACAGAGGAUAGUAGAAUUUCAUGUGAAGGGGUGGAAUCCUAAGAUAUAUGAAGGAAUGCCAAUAGCGAAAGCAACUAUCUGGGUUAGAACUGACGUUGAGGGACGAAAGCGUAGGUAGCAAACAGG